UGGGGGAUAUUGCACAAUGGAGGAAACUCUGAUGCAGCGACGCCGCGUGAGGGAAGAAGGUUUUCGGAUUGUAAACCUCUGUCUUCGGUGACGAAAAUGACGGUAGCCGAGGAGGAAGCCACGGCUAACUACGUGCC
rnacentral:rRNA from 1 species